AGCUUAGCAAGGAGAUCUUGACAUUUAGUAUCGUCCUUGUAACUAUCUGUGACUUCAGUGAUCCAAGUUGGAAUGGCUGAACUGGAAAAUAAGGUGGCUAGAUGGUAUUUCACUCGUGACAAGGCAUCAACCACUUUGUUUUCCCUUCCUUUCUUAUAUUCAAUUGUGUAUUUAUACCCCAAGAGCUUGAUAAGCAACUUAUGUUGUAUGCCUUCUGUUAGUUUCUGCUCUUGUAUAUGCUUCAAGCUUUGCUGAUCUGUCCUGAUGACUAAAGAGCUAGCCGCAAAGUAAUGUUUCCAUUUUUUAAGUGCUUCUAUAAUAGCCAUAGCUUACUUGUCAUAAGUGGAUAGUGCUGCUGCCUUGGGUCCAAUUGUUUUACUCAUGAACGAAAUUGGUCUCCCAUCUUGCAUUAAAACUGCACCAAUCCCAUAUCCACUUGCAUCAGCUUCUAAGACAAACGGCUUGGAGAAAUUUGGCAUAGACAAUACAGGUGCUGCUGUCAUUGUUUGCUUAAGUGUAUUGAAAGCUUCAUCCUGUGCUUGUGACCACUGAAACCCAUCCUUCUUUAAAGAACUGAACAGAGGGCUACAUAUGAUGCCAUAAUUCUUUAUAAACCGGCGAUAAUAGCCUGUCAGCCCUAAGAAGCUUCUUAGCUCAGUGACAUUCUGCGGCACCGGCCACUUGACAAUUGCCUCAAUCUUUGAUGGAUCAGUGGCAACCCCAUCUCCUCGAAUAACGUGCCCAAGGUGCAUUAGUGAGACCGAAUGGCAUCGCAACAUAUUCAUAAUGACCUUGGUGGGUGCUAAAAGUUGUCUUGGCAAUAUCAUCAGGGUUCAUUCUGAUUUGGUGAUAUCCACUCCGUAAAUCAACUUUGGAGAAUAUUUGAGCUCCAUUCAACUCAUCCAAUAGGUCCUCAAUUACAGGUAUUGGAAACUUGUUUUUGAUAGUUUGUGCAUUCAACUCCCUGAAGUCAAUGCAUAAUCGCCAGUCGAAGUCUUUUUUUCUUUACAAUAAGAGCAGGUGAAGAGUAAGGACUGGUGCUAUAUCUGAUGAAGUUGUGUAAGAGUAGUUCUUGAACCAACUUUUCCAUAACAUUCUUUUGGUGGUGUGGGAUUCUGUAAGGCCUUUUGUUGACAACUUUGGCACCUUUCUCAAGGGAAAAUGAUGUGGUCACAUUUUCUUGGUGGUGGAAGUGUUGUGGGCUCUUCAAAGAUGGUAUGAAACUCAUCCAAAAGUUUUUGAAUAGCAGCUGGUAUUGGAGAGUGUGUGAUGGUGUCUUGCUUGGUCGGCAUAAUGUACAGUAGGGCUCCACAAAUAGAGUUCUUAAGCAUUCUGUGCAUAUUGACUGUAUGCAGCAUCUCUGUUGUCGCUGGCAAACUAGCAUCAAAGAAUUUAACCACUUCCCCGUUGUUAUUGACCUGCAGGGUCAAUGCUUUCAAGUUGAGUUCCACUGGACUAUGCUCAUAAAUCCAAUCAGCACCAAGUAUUAUGUCAUAUCCUUUGAGUUUUAAGAGCCUGAAGUCUGACUCAAAAGGAACUCCUUGGAUUUCAUAUUUUGUCCCUCUGCACAAGAAUUCUGUCCACAGUGUUUCACCAUUUGCCACUUGGACACGUUCCUUCUUGGUGGGAGUGAGAUUACACUGUGCUUUCAUGGCAAGUUCAGGGGUCAUGAACGUUGUUGUACUUCCUGAAUCGACUAAGGCAAUUGCUUUUUCUGUGCCAACUGUGAGAUACAAGGUAAAGGUGUAUUUCCUUGCUUUUGUGCCUUUCAAUGCGUGCAUAGAAACACUCAUUGGUUCAGCUGUAUCAUCUGGAUCAUCAGAGUCAUCGUCAUCAUAUUCAUGGAUGUAGAUGAUCUCUUCUUUUUCCGUUGCCUGAACCUGUAAGGCAUUGACUUGUGCUUGCUGAGACAUUUUACAUACCCGUUUAUGUCCAGGAAACCAAGGUUCACGACAUUUAUAGCAAACUUUCUUUUCUCUUGCUUCCUGAAUAAUUGCUGCAGUUGUUGAGUUUGUGGCAGGUGCUUUAGGCUGAUCAAAGGUAACUUGCCUUCUUGCACUGGGAUAGUAUUGUUUGCUUGUGGGUACUGGUGAAGGUGCUGCUCGCUCCAUCCUUCUAGCAUACCAGAUAGCUUCCUGCAUGUCCGUGGGUUUGUGGCAUUGCAGAUGGUUUUGGAUGUAAGGUGUCAACCCAGAUAUAAAGCUGUUGACGUAAUAGUCAUUUGGCAAUGUAGGAUUGUCUCUCCGCAUCAGGUUCAUGGCUCUUUCAAACUUGAGAAUGUAAUUGUCAACAGUGCUGGUUUGAGUCAGAGAAUGAAAUGCCCUGACAUUGUCACAGAUGGAAGUGGUGGCAAACCUGUCUGAUAGGUAUCUGCAGAAUCGAUGCCAGGGAACAUUUGUUGAAGAAUAACCAGUCCCUCUCCACCACUGUAUUGCAGGACCUUUCAGGUAAGUGAUUGCUAUUUCAGUCCUUUGAUCGAGUUGUGUUCUUGCCGAAUCAAAGUACUGCUCAAUUAUUUGAAUCCAUGAAUCAGCAUCAUCACCAUCAAACUCAGGAAUGUUCAGCUUUGCUGGCUUGCACACCGGAUUCAUCCUUCUGAGUUCAGUCUGACCAUAUGUACGGAAUCGUGGUUGUACUCUUUUUCCUUCACUGUCAGAGUCAUCAUCGCCAAUGUUUACUUGAUUCUCUGCAUUUAUUGUUCUGUUGCCUUGCACAACUUUUCCGGUGGCAUUUGGGUGUUUGUAUGGCUGCUUCAGUGCGCCAUCAAGUUGCAAUUCUCUACCAUAGAUGUCCUGCAGCCUAGAUGUGCCAAUUGGCUUAACAGGUUGAACUGGUUGGUUUACACUGCCAUGUUCUGGAGUAGUUACAAUCUCUCCUUGAGCAUCAACAUGAUGAGCAAGAGGUGGUGGUUGAUCACUUUUACCCUUAGUGGCAGCGAACAAUAUUUCAAAAUUCUUUUGCAUCAGAUCAAAGUUUGCUUGAAUGUCAACAAAGUUUUUGUUUGUUGCACUUGCAAAAUCACUGAACUCCUUCUUGUCAUUUUCUCUGUUUUGCUGAAUGGCAGUUAUUUCAAGUUGCAAGCUUUUCAUCUCUAAUUGCUCAGUUGUCUCAGAUCCCGAAGCUUUGGGCAACGACAUGGUGUGGGGAAUAGUGUUGGAUACCUGAGAAACUGAAGGUUGAUGAUUUGUUGCGGAAGAUGUUGGGGAAGCCGCAGAUCAAACACCUUGUAUGCGCUCCACCGCCGCCUUCACCCCCGCCAGCGCCGCCCGCCUCCAGAAGUCCGACGAACCAGGGUGGGUGGGUGGGAUUCUUCCUUGAAGCGUUGUGCUCCAAGAACCGCCGCCGGCACCUGAUUUGUGACCGAGCUGUGCCACCGCCGCCAAGCCGCCGCCUUCUGCUCCUUUGAGGAAGAGCACAACUGCCGCCGGGAAAAAGAGCAAGCCGAGAAGGAUUCCACGGGAGCUAGAGCCCAACUUCUCUUCGCUCUAAAUCCAAUCGCCGCCGAGGAUCACUGGCAUCUGAUACCACUUGUAAGGCCUAAACUACUCAGAGAUGAUCAACAUGCAUGAAUCACGUCAUGAACACAUGAAUAUUGGGAA